rnacentral:rRNA from 1 species
AGUCGAACGGGAGUAGCAAUACUCCAGUGGCGGACGGGUGAGUAACGCGUGAGAAUCUGCCUUCUGGUCGGGGACAACCACUGGAAACGGUGGCUAAUACCGGAUGAGCCGAAGGGUAAAAGAUUAAUUGCCAGAAGAGGAGCUCGCGUCUGAUUAGCUAGUUGGUAGGGUAAAAGCCUACCAAGGCAUCGAUCAGUAGCUGGUCUGAGAGGACGAUCAGCCACACUGGGACUGAGACACGGCCCAGACUCCUACGGGAGGCAGCAGUGGGGAAUUUUCCGCAAUGGGCGAAAGCCUGACGGAGCAAGACCGCGUGAGGGAAGAAGGCUCUUGGGUCGUAAACCUCUUUUGUUAGGGAAGAACACAAUGACGGUACCUAACGAAUCAGCCUCGGCUAACUCCGUGCCAGCAGCCGCGGUAAUACGGAGGAGGCAAGCGUUAUCCGGAAUUAUUGGGCGUAAAGCGUCCGCAGGUGGCGAUUCAAGUCUGCGGUCAAAGACUGGGGCUUAACCCUGGAAAGGCCGUGGAAACUGAAGAGCUAGAGUGCAGUAGGGGUAGAGGGAAUUCCCGGUGUAGCGGUGAAAUGCGUAGAGCUCGGGAAGAACAUCGGUGGCGAAAGCGCUCUGCUGGACUGCAACUGACACUCAGGGACGAAAGCUAGGGGAGCGAAUGGGAUUAGAUACCCCAGUAGUCCUAGC